rnacentral:rRNA from 1 species
AGUGAACGCUGGCGGCAGGCCUAAUACAUGCAAGUCGAACGGCAGCACAGCUUAAGCUUGCUUAAGUGGGUGGCGAGUGGCGGACGGGUGAGGAAUACAUGGGAAUCUGCCCAGUCGUGGGGGAUAACGUAGGGAAACUUACGCUAAUACCGCAUGCGCCCUUCGGGGGAAAGCCGGGGACCUUCGGGCCUGGCGCGAUUGGAUGAGCCCAUGUCGGAUUAGCUAGUUGGCGGGGUAACGGCCCACCAAGGCGACGAUCCGUAGCUGGUCUGAGAGGAUGAUCAGCCACACUGGAACUGAGACACGGUCCAGACUCCUACGGGAGGCAGCAGUAGGGAAUAUUGGACAAUGGGCGCAAGCCUGAUCCAGCCAUGCCGCGUGAGUGAAGAAGGCCUUCGGGUUGUAAAGCUCUUUUGUCCGGAAAGAAAAGCUUCGGGUUAAUACCCUGGAGUCCUGACGGUACCGGAAGAAUAAGCACCGGCUAACUUCGUGCCAGCAGCCGCGGUAACAC